rnacentral:rRNA from 1 species
UACAGAGGUCUCAAGCGUUGUUCGGAUUCAUUGGGCGUAAAGGGUGCGUAGGUGGCGGGGUAAGUCAGGUGUGAAAUCUCGAGGCUCAACCUCGAAACUGCACUUGAUACUGCGGUGCUUGAGGACUGGAGAGGAGACUGGAAUUCAUGGUGUAGCGGUGAAAUGCGCAGAUAUCAGGAGGAACACCGAUGGCGAAGGCAGGUCUCUGGGCAUUAACUGACGCUGAGGAGCGAAAGCAUGGGGAGCGAACAGG